rnacentral:rRNA from 1 species
CCUACGGGGGGCAGCAGUGGGGAAUAUUGCGCAAUGGGCGAAAGCCUGAUGCAGCGACGCCGCGUGAGGGAUGAAGGUCUUCGGAUCGUAAACCUCUGUCAGCAGGGAAGAACGGUCACUGUGCUAAUCAGCAGUGAAUUGACGGUACCUGCAAAGGAAGCACCGGCUAACUACGUGCCAGCAGCCGCGGUAAUACGGAGGGUGCGAGCGUUAAUCGGAAUUACUGGGCGUAAAGCGCUCGUAGGCGGUAUGUCAAGUCAAGGGUGAAAUCCCCGGGCUCAACGUUGGAACUGCCUUUGAAACUGGCAAACUGGAGUGGGUGAGAGGAUAGUGGAAUUCCAGGUGUAGGAGUGAAAUCCGUAGAUAUCUGGAGGAACAUCAGUGGCGAAGGCGACUAUCUGGCACAUAACUGACGCUGAGGAGCGAAAGCGUGGGUAGCAAACAGGAUUAGAUACCCCAGUAGUC